ACAGCAUUUUUUUGCACAUAAAAAUAUUGUCCCAGUGGAAAAAAUGAAAAUAAAAUAAAGGCACAAUUUGUCUUUGUUAGUGUAUUUUUUUAAGAUUAAAAGUGUAUUGUUGUCAAGAGUUCAUUUCAUUCUUUUCUAGAACCAGAUUGGCAAUGGUAACUGGUUUCUGUUGAGAUAUAUGUAACAUACCUUUCCAGCUUUUAGCCCCACCUAGCAGCUUACUUUAGGAGCUUUCCUUCCACUUCACUGGUAUAAAUAGAGCACUUUCAAGCUUGAAGCAGCAUCCAGCUACUCAGGAAUAAGCACAGACUGUGGAUCAAACCAUCUGUAGCACCAACACCAGAAAUAUAUCCAGAAUCAUGAAACCUGAGGUCUUCCUUUGCCUGCUGCUGAGCUGCUGCUUCCUUCAUGAUGCUGACUGCAAAAGCCCAAUCCCUCGGUGUCUCUGUCCUCCCCACUUGCAACUUGGUUGUCCCAAGAAUGGAUACCUUCUCCUGGGAGAGUCCGUGUACAUUGACUUUGCCACCCAAAAAUGUACUUGCAUAUCUCAUGACAAGAUUCAAUGCGCUUCAACUUGCCCUGAAAUUCCUCCAACAUGCAAGUAUAUAGGAAGGCCUAUGGAUGGCUGCGGUGUUUGUGCUUGUCCCAUUGACAAAUAUAAUCAUGUAGAAGCCGGUGGAAAGAUUGAAAAGAAAUGUGAAAUUUGCAUAUGUCCUCCAGAUGGUGGAAAAUUAAAGUGCCAAGCCACCUGCAAGACAUAGUGUAAAAGAUGUUUUACAUGCUAAAUCGGGGGGGGGGGGGGGAGAGAUACUGGGUAGAAGGGAUCUAUAAAUUGUAAGCUGAUUUGAAUUCUUUCUUAGGAGAAAGAUAUGAUACAAAAUGAAUGAAUGAAUGACUGAAUGAAUAAACCAAUUGCAUUAUUAAAGAA